rnacentral:tRNA from 12 species
GGGCGGUUAGCUCAGCGGUAGAGCACUCGCCUUACAAGCGAGGGGUCACUGGUUCGAACCCAGUACCGCCCACCU